GCCGGGUGUGGCGGCGCGUGCCUGUAGUCCCAGCUACUCGGGAGGCUGAGGCUGGAGGAUCGCCUGAGUCCAGGAGAUCGGGGCUGCAGUGCGCUGUGCCAAUCAGGUGUCCGCACUAAGUUGGGCAUCAAUAUGGUGACCUCCCGGGAGUGGUUGCCUAAGGAGGGGUGAACCAGCCCAGAUCGGGGACAGAGCAGGUCAAAACUCCCAUGCUGAUCAGUAGUGGGAUCGUGCCUAUGAAUAGCCACUGCACUCCAGCCUGGGCAACAUAGCAAGAGCCCAUCUCUA
ensembl:misc_RNA Metazoa_SRP Metazoan signal recognition particle RNA